CGUCCUCACUACGACCAUACCACGAUUUAUCCGAUUGCAACACGAUCUUACCACGCUUCUACUGCGAUUAUAGCACGCUCUUAACACGACCAAACUACGAUCAUACCACGUUCAUACCGCGAUCUUACUUCGCUCCCAGCAAUAACGUCAACAUCGUGUUCCAUAUUAAUACUGUAUCAUUCCUUCUAUUUCUCAUUGAUACGUAGAG
rnacentral:lncRNA from 1 species